rnacentral:rRNA from 1 species
UACGGGGGGGGCAAGCGUUGUUCGGAAUUACUGGGCGUAAAGGGCUCGUAGGCGGCCAACUAAGUCAUACGUGAAAUCCCUCGGCUUAACCGGGGAACUGCGUCUGAUACUGGAUGGCUUGAGAUUGGGAGAGGGAUGCGGAAUUCCAGGUGUAGCGGUGAAAUGCGUAGAUAUCUGGAGGAACACCGGUGGCGAAGGCGGCAUCCUGGACCAAUUCUGACGCUGAGGAGCGAAAGCCAGGGGAGCAAACGGG